rnacentral:rRNA from 1 species
AUCUGGACCAAACCUCCUGACAAUUCUACCAAUGAUGGGGACUGCACCACGUGGUCGAAUGGUCAGAGGGCUCUCUGCUACGACUGCUAGCCAUGCAUGGCUGGCAUGCUUGCUAACCUGAAGAAUGGCUGGAAGAAGAUCAAUACUGUCAACAUCAUAUUCCUCAUCACCGUCUACUAUGUUUGGUGUUGCACUUUCAGGAACAAUAGGAAGGACAACUCUACCCAGCCUGUCAAUGCUUAG